AUUCAUUGUUCUCGUUUCUAUUAUUUCUGAAAAAAAUCUUCAGGAUUCUGCUUGUGGGAGUGGAUGACAUUUUUACAGUGUUUACAGACACAAAAUGAACAAGAUGUCUGUGGCAACCCUCAGACCAUUGACGCCUUCUCUCCUAUGUAUCAAAUCACACAUUUGGACGUUGACUGAACCCUCACAUGUCAGAUGCUCAAUAUUGAGGUAUAGUAAAAGGGAGCAUGAACUUGAGAAAAUACGCUUUCAACACAAAGCUGUAAUAAUAUAAGGUCAAAUAAGAUUCUGCAUUGGAGAUAGAAAACUCUGAAGGAAGCUUUAUCUAUUCCAGAAUGUCAUAUAGCUGGUAUAAGAAAGAACACUAAUCAUUCCUAAGGAAGAAAAUUAACAACGCCGUGAGUUAUAAUAUCUGGCUGAAACUGAAGGAGCUCUGUGUAAUUAAAAGUCCUUUCUGCCCUGCCUGGCCAUGGUUCUGUAUGCAUUGAUGUCUUACAAACUGAAAAAAAAAAAAGUUAUUUUCUCAUCUCCAUUCCCUAGCAUAGAC
rnacentral:lncRNA from 1 species